rnacentral:rRNA from 1 species
AACGAACGCUGGCGGCAUGCCUAAUACAUGCAAGUCGAACGGAAUGGGGCAACCCAUUUAGUGGCGGACGGGUGAGUAACGCGUGGGAACCUGCCCAUCGGUACGGAAUAACCUCGGGAAACUGAGGCUAAUACCGUAUGCGCCCCCCAGGGAAACUUGGGGGGGAAAGAUUUAUCGCCGGUGGAGGGGCCCGCGGCGGAUUAGGUAGUUGGUGAGGUAACGGCUCUCCAAGGCUUCGAUCCGUAGCUGGUCUGAGAGGAUGAUCAGCCACACUGGGACUGAGACACGGCCCAGACGCCUACGGGAGGCAGCAGUAGGGAAUAUUGGACAAUGGGGGCAACCCUGAUCCAGCAAUGCCGCGUGAGUGAUGAAGGCCUUAGGGUUGUAAAGCUCUUUUGGCAGGGACGAUGAUGACGGUACCUGCAGAAUAAGCCCCGGCUAACUUCGUGCCAGCCGCCGCAGUAAGAC